ACCAGAGUUUCUACUUUGCAGUCUGUUCUUGUCAGAUAUCAGUAGUUAAGAAAGACUUGGCCUGGUCAGUACUGGGAUGGGAGACCUCAUAGGAAAAUUUGGUAGAUGCAGUUU
rnacentral:rRNA from 1 species